rfam:Lupinus angustifolius cultivar Tanjil chromosome LG11, whole genome shotgun sequence.
GCUUUCAUAGCUCAGUUGGUUAGAGCACCCGUCUCAUAAACGCGAGGUAUUGAGUUCAACUCUAAAUGAGAGCA